UACGUAGGGUGCAAGCGUUAAUCGGAAUUACUGGGCGUAAAGCGUGCGCAGGCGGUUCGUUAUGUCCGUUGUGAAAGCCCCGGGCUUAACCUGGGAAUGGCAUUUGGGACUGCAAGGCUGGAGUGUGGCAGAGGAGACUGGAAUUCCUGGUGUAGCAGUGAAAUGCGUAGAUAUCAGGAGGAAUACCGAUGGCGAAGGCAGGUCUCUGGGCUGACACUGACGCUCAUGCACGAAAGCGUGGGGAGCAAACAGG
rnacentral:rRNA from 1 species